rnacentral:rRNA from 1 species
AGAGAUGCAUUGGGUUUAAAGUGUGCGCAGGCGGUUUUGUAAGACAGAGGUGAAAUCCCCGGGCUCAACCUGGGAACUGCCUUUGUGACUGCAAGGCUGGAGUGCGGCAGAGGGGGAUGGAAUUCCGCGUGUAGCAGUGAAAUGCGUAGAUAUGCGGAGGAACACCGAUGGCGAAGGCAAUCCCCUGGGCCUGCACUGACGCUCAUGCGCGAGAGCGUGGGGAGCAAACA